UCCCAUAAAGCCAAGCUCCCGGAGGAGAUCACCCAGCUCGUCAUUGUAGAGCACUUUUUCAAUCUGCUCCCCAACGAGAAGGUGACGACACAUUUGUAUGUCAAUUCAUAUCAUCUUUCGAUGCCAUUGACUGCGCCUACCAUGGUGACCACGGGUAUUGGGGAAUCAGGGUUCGAUUCCGUACAGCGACCCUGACAAACGGCUACCACAUGCAAAGAAGGCAGCAGGCGCGCAAAUGACCCACUCCCGAAGCGGGAAGGUAGUGACGA